AAGAAGAGGAGUGGGUGGAGGGCCCCUGGAUCUCGUGGAAUAAGAUGAUGAUGCCAGAGUGCACGAACUAACCUUUUGGGGAGGGGAAAAACAAAAACAAAGAAUAAAAACAAAAAGCUAACCAAGUUAGUGAGGAUCAUAAAAAGUAUUACAAUAUUUAAACCCAUAGUGCGGGAAUGUAAAUCGUGUCCUAUUUUGGGGACCUCCUUGUGCCCGAGGUAGACAUAGCGACAAAUUGAUUUGGAGAACUUAGAAUGCUAAAUGCCUCAUUUUAUUGAUAGAGAUAGACGAAUCCGAAAACGACACUAAAUAAGCAAGAAACAAAAGUCACUAAUGGUCGUUGGCCUUAUUACAUUCAUAAAGCGAAAAAGAUAAACUCAUAUCUACUUGGUCCCAGAAAGACCUUCCUCAGGUUAAAUGCUCUCGUUGAUUAGAUCCUCCAGUUCGCGUAGGUUCACCAGUAAAAAUGCCUUUGCCAGGUGUUCUCCUUCAUUUUCCUCAACGUUCUGGCAGUCUGUAACUCUCCUCCUCACUUUUCCUUCCAAUUCCAGCAGGUUGUAUUCCAGAUAUUCCAACUUUUCGCUAGCUUUGGCGGCCCUCUCUUUCCACUCAUUGAUUUGGUCAUUUGAUAGAAGACUCAUCCACCAGUCUAACAAGAGUGGAGGCGUGCUAACUAUACCAAAACUGGGGACCUCGUGCCUCAUAUUUCUGUAAGACAAACAAGGUUAGGCCCUUACCCCCACCAGACUCAACUAUUGAAUACCAACAAUUAGCAUGAAGCAUUUAGUUCUCCAAAUAAAUGCACAGAACGUGAUGGCAUCCGUUUGGAUUUUAGGGAGACCGAGUGGAAUUUGGACAAAGCUAUCUUAAAGGGUCAUUAUGUGGACAAUAUAACUAACCCGGCUAGGUUUGACCAUGAUGCAUGCACAAUUUAAACAAAGUAUGGUUUCUAUAGGGUUUUAGACUGGUACCCUUUGUCAUACCUCCUUUUUACAUAUACCCCGGAAGGGUGUAAGGGGGAGUUUUUUCCAACUUAAAGUGAUAAUCGAAAUGGGAUUAUUUAUAUAAAAAUUCAGAGUCGCCACUUGGGAUAAUUUUAUGGUGUCCUAAGUCAUCGGUUCAAAUCCCGAAUCAAGGAAAAGAUUGACUCUGUUUUACAGUCCGCGAACACAAAAAUCCGGUAAGGAAUUCUGUUAACCCGGGAGAAGGUGUUAGGCAUUCCCGAGUUCCGUGGUUCUAGCACGGUCGCUCAACUAUUAUAAUUGGCCUAUUAUCUGAUUUUAAUACAUGUUUUAGCCUAUGGUUCAAUUUUAGUUUUAUAACCGCUUUUAUUCAUUUUAAGGAAGAUUGCAACAUCAUUUAAAAUACGUCUUGAACUACGUCACAUAAAUGCACUCGCAGUCCGCAACACAUUUUAUCUAACGUUGUUGAGAUUUGGAUUUGGGUCACAUAAAUGUGCACCCGAGUUGAGAUUCACGUAUCGUAACCAUGCCACAGGAACCUUACCCAUGGUCACGAUAAUUUAUUUAACGGCGCCUAAAGAAAGCUACGAAUUAAGAAUUAUUUUUCCUAAACUAGUUAUACAGUGAAACAUUUUCUACAUUUUAAUGAUAUUCGUUCAAUAUAUGAGUUCCCAUAGCCAAUUAUAAUUGGCGAAACUCUAAAUUGGAAAAGAUAACGCCUUAAAAUACGGCGAUCACAACAUUCAUGCUUAAAUCAUCAAUCCAUUGUGGCACAACAAAUAAGCAGAUAAGUUAAGAAAAGUAAAACGUCAUAUGUUUGUUUGAUUAGUUCCUGGCAAUUGUGACUAUACGAUGUAACAUAAUAAAUGAGGAAAUAUACCAAAGUUUUUAUUGGUGACAAAGCUUAGUUCAUCUAGUAACAAGAUAAUAAAAAUACAAUAGUAAUAAAACAAUUUAAACAUGCUCAAAUACUGAGUAAACUAGCUUAAAUGACCAAAAAAACAAACAAAACAAUAAGAUAUGGCAAAGAAUGGACUUAAAGCAUGAGAGAUGAAAUAUUAUUGAAUCGGAGGAUAAGAACAAGAGUGAACCUUCAAUGGCUUAAAAAGUUUCUUCAAUAAAUAAGGAGAAACAGAACUUCCAAAUAUCGCGACCGGAGAUGACGGAUGGAACUUGAAUCGAAAAUUCUCCGGCGACCUCGAACUUUUUCAGUACCCCAGCUCCAAUACAACUUAGUAGAGAAAGAUUUUGGUUGUUUCCAAAUAAAUCAAUUUGUUUCAACAGGAAGGAAGUAGAAAGCAGCGAUGAAAUCGGAACUCCUGUGAAAUGGCUUUGUCGGCGACAAAAUCAAAAGUUGUGCGGCCGAGCUUGAGCGAGACCAGAUUGAUUUCUUUUGUUCCCCUAAAAUUUUUUUCCUUCCCCUUAGCUCUAAAGUGAUUUUCGUUCUUUUCUCUGUUAAUGUGUGUGUGUAAAUUUGUUUGGGUUUCAAAAGAGUUAAUAUUUGCUCUCAAGGAUUAAGAGGGAUGAGAGCCUCCAAAGGUCUGUUUACUAGCCCCUUCGAAAUUGGGAACAGCAACAAUAAAAUCAGGAGGGGUGGGUAAUCGUUCUUUUUCUUUGUGAAACGGCGGAUCUAAAAUCUAGGGGUUGGGUACUAUUAUAUAGGGGUAGGGAUUAGGUUAGGGGUAUGGGCCUAGGAAUUAUGGGCUUGGGAAUUAUGGGUUAGGUCCAAAAUUAGGUCUAAAGAUGGAUUGCUCGAGCCCAAGUAUUAUUCUUUCCCCGCGAACGAGAUAAAAAUACGAUCUCACUUAUUAAUUAGUCC
rnacentral:lncRNA from 1 species